UACAGAGGUGGCAAGCGUUGUUCGGAAUUACUGGGCGUAAAGGGCGCGUAGGCGGCCUUCUAAGUCAGACGUGAAAUCCCCCGGCUUAACCUGGAACUGCGUCUGAUACUGGGAGGCUUGAGUAUGGGAGAGGGAUGUAGAAUUCCAGGUGUAGCGGUGAAAUGCGUAGAUAUCUGGAGGAAUACCGGUGGCGAAGGCGGCAUCCUGGACCCAUUACUGACGCUGAGGCGCGAAAGCUAGGGGAGCAAACGGG
rnacentral:rRNA from 1 species